AGCGAAGUAGAGUAAUGGUUAACUCAUGAGGCUCAUGACCUCAAGAUCUCGGUUCGAUUCCCAGCUUCGCUA
rnacentral:tRNA from 1 species